rnacentral:lncRNA from 1 species
CAACCUCUGCCUCUCGGGUUCAAGUGAUUUCCCUGCCUCAGCCUCCCAAGUAGCUAGGAUUACAGGUGCCCACCACCACGCUUGGCUAAUUUUUGUAUUUUCAGUAGAGAUGAGGUUUCACCAUGUUGGCCAGGCUGAUCUCAAACUCCUGACCUCAGGUGAUCCACCUGCCUCAACCUCCCAAAGUGCUGGGAUUACAGGUGUGAGCCACCGCGCUCAGCCAACAAUAAUAAAUUUUAAAAAGAAAGAAUAUGAUAUGCUGCAGGUCAGAAAUAUCUUACUAGGAGCCAGAGCUCUAGAGGCAGAAAAGUCAGGAGUUGGCAGAAAUCCCAGGGAAGACUUGAGACAGCCUCAGGAAUGGGGUAGAGGAGAAGUAGAAGACAGGACAUUGGGGGAAAUCUCAUUGAAAUCAGAAGGGGCAUAAAGGGCCCCAGAUGACAUCUGCUUUACAUUCAGAAGUAAAGGAGUGAAGAAUAAUAUUGGGAAUGGGAAGCUAGUAAUGGGUACUACAGACAGGUCCAGAAAUCUGUAGUACUGGCUGGAGAGAUAAAAGCAACCUUGACACUCAACAAAAGGCAGUACCGGUUAUUCUCUGUGUGUGUGUAUGCAUGUGUGUGAUAUAUAUCAGCAUGUAUGUAUGUGUGUGCAUAGAUAUGUGUGUAUGUAUGUGCAUAUUAGCACAGGUGCUCAAAAAUAUUUAUUGGAUGGAUGGGUGGAUUGGUGGAUGGAUGGAUGAAUGAACGCAUGGACAGAUGGGUGGGUGGAUGGAUAGAUGGGUGGUUGGAUGAAUGCGUGGAUGGAUGGAUGGGUAGAUGGAUGGGUGCGUGGAGGGAUGGGUGGAUGGGUGAGUGGGUGGGUGAAUGGAGGGUAGGUGGAUGGGUAGGUGGAUGGAUGGAGGGUAGUUGGGUAGGUAGGUGGGUAGGUGGAUGGAGAGAGGGACAGAUGAGGUACACCAACUAUUCCUGUCCUCCAGCCCUCAAAUCAACUCUCUUUUGCCUCAAGACUGGCAACAUUCCUACUUUCCUUCCUCCUCCUCCCUCCGGCGUCCUCCUCUUCCCCGUGGCAAGUAAAUACUGCACCCCCAGCUCCAGUCUGGGCUUGUGCUCAGGGACCAAUUUUCCAGGACAUUUGCAGUCCUACCCUGCCACCUACAGGGAGGCCUAUGGUACUGCAGAGAGGAGCCCUUAUUUGACUUCGAUUCAGGGCAGCGCCACACAUCUCACCUUAUUCAGAAAGAGAAAGGGCAGCGCUCAGAGGGCGUGGCAAGGAGUCGGCAAAGCCCACGGGGAACUGGGGACUGGUUUCGGCUUAGAAUCUUCUUUCAAAGGAUGAAAACACUGGGCUAACUCAGGUACGCCGAGCCCAGAGCUGUUAGGUAGGGAAUGCAGGCACAUCAGGGAGAGCGGGGGAGGGAAGGCGGAGGGAGCGACCAGGAGGCGCGAGAGACCACCCGCCUGGAAGUCGCGUCCCC